ensembl:snoRNA
UGGCCAAGGAUGAGAAAUCUAACCUGAUGCCUCUGCUGUGAUGGGUUAAAGGAUUUACCUGAGGCCA